rnacentral:rRNA from 1 species
GACGAACGCUGGCGGCGUGCUUAACACAUGCAAGUCGAGCGGUAAGGCCCUUUCGGGGUACACGAGCGGCGAACGGGUGAGUAACACGUGGGUGACCUGCCCUCAGCUCUGGGAUAAGCCGUGGGAAACCGGGUCUAAUACCGGAUAUGACUCCAUGACGCAUGUUGUGGGAUGGAAAGCCUUGUGCGGCUGAGGAUGGGCCCGCGGCCUAUCAGCUUGUUGGUGGGGUGANGGCCUACCAAGGCGACGACGGGUAGCCGGCCUGAGAGGGCGACCGGCCACACUGGGACUGAGACACGGCCCAGACUCCUACGGGAGGCAGC